rnacentral:rRNA from 1 species
UACGUAGGUGGCAAGCGUUGUCCGGAAUUACUGGGUGUAAAGCGCGUGUAGGCGGGAGGCCAAGUCUGCGGUGAAAUCGCUCGGCUCAACUGGGCGGGGUCCGUGGAAACUGGUCACCUGGAGGACGGUAGAGGCGAGUGGAAUUCCCGGUGUAGUGGUGAAAUGCGUAGAGAUCGGGAGGAACACCAGUGGCGAAGGCGGCUCGCUGGGCCGGACCUGACGCUGAGACGCGAAGGCGUGGGGAGCGAACGGG